rnacentral:lncRNA from 1 species
AUUGGAGACGGAUUGCUGAAGCCCACCCCCGAGCCACAACGCUAUUGGAAGAAGCGGGGAAGCUCUUCCUGUCUCAUUGGAGGACACCACAUAACCCGCCCCGCAGCGUCUCAGCCACAGGCCUAACAAGUUGGCUCCCGCCUCCGCCGGUCAUCGCAUUGGAAGGCUACCCCUGGCUCUCCCACCGCCCCAGUAAGCGGAAACGGCCAGGAACGAGCUCUGGCAGCAGGUGGGCCUGACUCCAAGGAUGGCUUCGAGCCGCGAAACCACAGCAGCGAAUUGCGAACUCCAAAGGUAGCUGACAGGUGGGAGCAGCCUCGCCAGUAGCCAAACCCUGCCCCAGGACAGAGGUCUAAAAGUAAGUCAGACCAACA